AUUUUUUUGAUGAUUGGUAUGAGUAAAGGGUUUCUGUCAUGCUCUGCAAUUCUCACCAAUGUGAGAGGCAGAUUGAGACUGCUUUCUACCUUCUUUUUCCAGGAUGCAGAUACGACUCUCCCUUAUGAAGAAGAAAAGGGUCAUCUGUAAGGAAACUGCUGAGCCUUUACAGCGUCUUGCAUGUUCAGCAGAGAAAGAAUUGCUCAUAGCUUCUCUUUCUUGCUUCUAAUGAUGGUUUGUUUGUUUUUUAUUCUUUUUUUAACAUAGUAGGUGUGGGCUGUAAAGGAUUUAUAUAAAAGUUUUUGGAGCUUUUCCAAGGGCAGCUUGUCUUCCUGAAGAUAAAAAUCUAUUUAUGAUAAAAUGUACCUAACCAGGAGUAACACUGCAACAUUCUUGUCCUCUCUAUUGUACCAGAAGGAAUGUGGCCCUAUAUAAUCCAAUUUCCCUUAUACCCUAUGAUGGCUUGGCCCAAAAUCUUUAAAAGCCAGUAGGGAUUGGGCUGUAAUAAUUCUAAAAGGGUGAAGAUGGCCAGAGGAGGAAGUAUGAGUCUCACUUACCUGUCCCUUUAGCUUUAUGGAGACUUUGAAGAAUAUUUCCUGAUGCAGGUAUGCAGAGUGUUUUCUCGGACAGGUAUAUCCAGAAAGAAGUCCUGAAAGAUUUCCUUGGCAGAUUUAUUUUUGUUGUUGACCCUGUGCUACCUCAGUCAUCCUGCUGAUCAGAGAGAGAAUGCUACCUCAGUCAUCCUGCUGAUCAGAGAGAGAAAUGAAAAUAACUGCUUCUUUCUGAAACUAUUGAUUCAACAUGCAACCAUGAUUUGACAUAAUCUCAUUCUGAUCUGAAGCACAUAAAUAAACUUUGUGGAAGAGAGAGAACUGAAAAUCA
rnacentral:lncRNA from 1 species